rnacentral:rRNA from 1 species
GACGAACGCUGGCGGCGUGCCUAAUACAUGCAAGUAGAACGCAGUUGCGAACGGGUGAGUAACGCGUAGGUAACGGCCUCAUAGCGGGGGAAAACUAUUGGACACGAUAGCUAAUCCCGCAUACUGUGAGAUGGACCUGCGUUGUUUUAGCUAGUUGGUGAGGUAAAGGCUCACCAAGGCGACGAUACAUAGCCGACCUGAGAGGGGGGUCGGCACCACGGGGAAUGGUACACGGCCCAGGGUCCCACGGGAGGGAGCAGUAGGGGAUUGUCGGGAAUGGAAGGAAAUUCGACCGAACAACGCCGGGUGAGUGAAGAAGGUUGUCCGUUCGUAAAGAUCUGUUGUUAGAGAAACGGUAACUAACCAGAAAGGAACGGCUAACUACGUGCCAGCAGCCGCGGUAAUUC